rnacentral:rRNA from 1 species
GUUCGUAAUUGGGUUCUCGAUUGCUGGAUGCAUCGAGAUUUAAAGCUCCGGCGCCUAAGGAUGGGUCUGCGGCCUAUCAGGUAGUAGUGGGUGUAGCGUACCUACUAGCCUACGACGGGUACGGGUUGUGAGAGCAAGAGCCCGGAGAUGGAUUCUGAGACACGAAUCCAGGCCCUACGGGGUGCAGCAGGCGCGAAAACUUUACAAUGCUGGCAACAGCGAUAAGGGAACCUCGAGUGCCAGGUUACAAAUCUGGCUGUCGAGAUGCCUAAAAAGCAUUUCAUAGCAAGGGCCGGGCAAGACCGGUGCCAGCCGCCGCGGUAACACCGGCGGCUCGAGUGGUAACCGUUAUUAUUGGGUCUAAAGGGUCUGUAGCCGGCCGGAUAAGUCUCUUGAGAAAUCUGGCAGCUUAACUGUCAGGCUUUCAGGAGAUACUGUCUGGCUCGAGGCCGGGAGAGGUGAGAGGUACUUCAGGGGUAGGGGUGAAAUCUUGUAAUCCUUGAAGGACCACCAGUGGCGAAGGCGUCUCACCAGAACGGACCUGACGGCAAGGGACGAAAGCUAGGGGCACGAACCGGAUUAGAUACCCGGGUAGUCCUAGCCGUAAACGAUACUCGCUAGGUGUCGGCCACGGUGCGACCGUUGUCGGU